rnacentral:rRNA from 1 species
UGAGGAAUAUUGGGCAAUGCCCGCAAGGGUGACCCAGCAACGCCGCGUGGAGGAUGAAUGUCGUAAGAUUGUAAACUCCUGUUAGAGGGGAAGAAUAGUACCGGUUGGACCGGUAUAUGACUGUACCCUCAGAGAAAGCCCCGGCUAACUACGUGCCAGCAGCCGCGGUAAUACGUAGGUGGCAAGCGUUGUCCGGAUUUACUGGGUGUAAAGGGUGCGCAGGCGGAUGGGUAAGUCAGGGGUGAAAGUCUGCAGCUUAACUGUAGAAUUGCCUUUGAUACUGCUCAUCUUGAGUGUGGGAGAGGUUGAUGGAAUUCCAGGUGUAGCAGUGAAAUGCGUAGAUAUCUGGAAGAACACCAGUGACGAAGGCGGUCAACUGGCCCAUAACUGACGCUCAUGCACGAAAGCGUGGGGAGCAAACA